AUACCUUUUUCGGCCUUUUGGCAAAGAUCAAGUGUAGUAUCCGUUCUUAUCAGUUUAUGUGGGCAAUCAGCUCACACGAUAUUAAAUUUAUUUUUUUAAGGUUGAAGAUCCAUCAAAGUAGCUUGCUAAUUGGGUCUUCAAGCAUCGCCCAUGCGUUGCACUAUUGCUCGGGUCUGGCGCACCACAC